ACCCCAGCCGACUGAAGAAGCGGCGACUAAUCAGCCGACGGCCGGAGUCAUCAACAUGAUCUCCAAGCGGCUGGAUCCGAGGACGUCUGCGGGAGGGGAGCCAACGAAAAAGCCGCGCCCGGACGACGUGAUCACUUUUACGGAGGAAGACGUUCGGGGCAUCCAAACUCCCCAUGACGAUGCCGUUGUUGUGUCGGCAACA
rnacentral:lncRNA from 1 species